UGCAAGUCGAGCGGUUGAGGGUAGCUUGCUACUCGAUACAGCGGCGGACGGGUGAGUAAUACAUGGGAAUUUGCCUGGUAGUGGGGGACAACGUUUCGAAAGGAACGCUAAUACCGCAUACGCCCUACGGGGAAAGGGGGGGAUCUUAGGACCUCUCGCUAUCAGAUGAGCCCAUGUCAGAUUAGCUUGUUGGUGAGGUAAAGGCUCACCAAGGCGACGACGGGUAGCCGGCCUGAGAGGGCGACCGGCCACACUGGGACUGAGACACGGCCCAGACUCC
rnacentral:rRNA from 1 species